ACCAAUCGGAGUAAACUAUAACGGCGUUCGUAUGGUCCCGCCUCUUUUACGAACAUUGCCGAUGUUUGCCGAAGGCUGUUUUCCCCGUCUAAGCAAAAGUAAAAAAAACUGUACUGUUCCGUCCGUCUCGUCCUGGAUCAGCUACGAGUGUUGGAAAAGAAGCUCGCGCGAAAGGCCUACCGUAACCACCGAAGAUUCAUACAUCAUUUUUUUGUUCAGCUUUUAUCUUCAGUACUCAAAAAAUAACUGUAACAAUGUUUUAUAGCACCCUUUUAAACAUGACCGCUCAUUUUGUUAGCAAUUCAGAACGUUUGCUACUAUUUUAUGGGAAAUUGCAGGAAGCCUCGGAGUCGAGUUAAAGCACUGGCCGGACACCUGACAGACACUUUCGGUAUGCGCCGUUGGAAAGCCCCCGGAAAGCCUGCAGCUUUGUAACAAGUCUAUUUUUAGAUUUUUUUUAUACACAAAAUAUCACAAGUUAUCGUUUAACGUUUGUCAGACUGUUGCUUAAAACGGUGGUACGUAUUUUAAGUUUUAAUCGUGUUUUAUAAAGCUUUUACGUUGUAGGCCGCGUGUGAGCCGCGAGAACACGUUUAAUAACAGGAUUAAAAGAUAAACGCGUCCGUAAAUAUAUUACUUUAGAAAUAUCUAAACGAGAUGAGCAGAUUACAGACAGUUUGUUUAGAGAAAUGUGGAGGAAUAUUACGUUUGUGUCGCCUGUAACAAAAAAAUGGCGUUAGGUAACAUGAGCCGCGUUAAUAACGCUCUAUAACGUAGAUAUUCGUGUUUAUAUCGGUGUUUUUAUACCGUAGUGUAAACUAAAGCGAAUUAUUUCGACCACGUCGAUGAAGCUCGUCUGGAGUAAAAUGUAUAUUUUUGUAUUUAUUCGCGUUGUGAAGGAGAGUUAAAGCACAACAUGGCCGCCGUGCUGGUUAGCCUGUUAGCAUGUUAGCUUAGCACACUUGUGUCUCCACAACAGCAGUGAAGUGAUCAGAUAAACGUCCAGUCGGGUCGAUAAAUCGACUAUAAAACAAUCUAGGGCAUAAAUUUUAUUUGUUUAAAUUGUAAUUAUUAUUAUUAUUUUUUUUUUACAAACGUGGAGUCGACGAGUUUUAUCAGUUAUUUUUUAGGUGGUGUGGAAUCUUAGUGUUUUUAUUUUAUUUUUAUUUAGUAAUAAUGAUGUUAGCCGGUCGGUUUAACUGUUAUUGUUAAUAUUUAAGUAUUAUAAUAAAAAUAAUAAAAUAAAUAAUAACGAGUACUGGAUAAAUUGUAUGUUGUUGGAUCUCUAGACAAGUUUAGUGUCUUGUAUUGUGAUUGAGGAAAUAGUGAUUGAGACACACACGUCGUUUUCUUAUUGCUAGAUCAUUUAGUGUUAUAUGUAUAUAUAUACACAACAUAUAUAUAUAUAAAAAACACAUAUAUGACAUGUAUAUAACAUAUAUACAUAAUGUGGUGUUGGGAGAAUCGUCCAUAUCUUGCUCUUGCGCGCGCGCAAUGCUAAUGAAGCCACCUAGCAUAGCCGCUAUUCUAGCUAUUGUCUGUCUCCUGGUGCUGUUCACGACAUUAGAACACACGAUACGUUUAUUUUAGACGAUUAUUAGCUAUAUAGAUUUAGUCUCAAGGAACGUAUGAUUAUUGAUAUUAGACAACAGGCUAUCUUAAUCAGAUAACUAGUUCUCUUAGCCGGCUAACAGUAAAAGCUUUGUUAUAUGUAACUCGGGUGUGUUUCGCUUUGUCUUUCUGUCUCUCUCUCUGUCUCUCUCUUUAUACAUAUAUAUAUGUGUGUAUGUGUGUGUACAUGCAUGCUCGCUCCAGUAUACAUUAAUAAUUGUGAUUCUUGUGUUAUCAUGUUUAGAAAUGAUACGGUUGUAAUCCGUGUUCAGAGCUGUACUUGGUGUUCCAGUAUGGCGGAAGGCAGCUCUAAUAAAAAUGGAGUCUGCUCUGUUACUAGGUUGUUGUUUUGUAAGGAACAGAGAAGUCAGCCUGAGCCGUCUGCCACAGUUAAACACGUCUCCUUCCUUAUCAUCAUUAUUAUUGUGGUUGUAUCCGCAAAGUUUAAGAAUUCACUACAGUCCGCCGAUUGUGACCCAGAUCGAAAAGAAAAAAUAAGAAGGAACGUCUCGUGUGCCACGGAGGCAGGUUCAGAUCGUCUGCUUUAGGAGUAAGUCGGGUUAGAGAGGUCUUCUCGGUGGUGUUAAUGCUUUUCAGGGGAAGAGUAAGUACAGCGUGCUCAGAAAGUGGCGUGAAGUCGCUGAGUGAUGUCACAGCACGUUCAUUUGCAUGUAGAUUUUUUCAUCAAGAUUAUUGUAUCAACUCAAUAAAUUCUACAUCCAGGUUAUGUAACGUCUUCAAAUUGAAAACCGUACGAAAGAGCAGAGGACGAGCUUCGUUACGAUACCCAGUUACUGUCUGUACCAAAAUUAGGCCGAAUUGAAGAAUUUAACUAAGUAAUUGCUUUAUUUUUAUAUUAUUUACUUCGUGUGCACACGUUACUAUUAAAAAUGGCCACAUCGAUAUGCACAUCUGUCAUAUUUUGACAGAAAUACGUUGCUUUAUGUGAACUAUGAAGGAAACCUCAAUAUCUGGGUCUCCUGGCCGAUCAUAUUUGUCCUGUCACUCUAGUGACAUGACAUUUAGUGUCUCUCGACUGAGCCUCGUUAUAAACAGCUGGAGAUGGAGCAUAGUGAAUCCUGAGAGUUGCUGUUAAAAACAUUUUAUUUACAAACAUGACUUCCAAAAGGAGAUUUUUAGCUCCUCAGAAAGAUUCAGUUGUGCGUUUUAAAGACAAGGAUGACGGAAAUGCUUCGUCUGAUUUGGGGAGUUUGUCAUCAGAGGAAGAAAAUCUUCUCGAAGACGGUGUCGGUAAAAACUUCUGAUCCACAAACUUGCUCAGCUGCUGCAGUCUACAUCACCCCUGUAUACCAACCUUUUUUGGGAGGAUGAAGACCAAAAUGCUAAACCACUGGACCUCUUUCAUCUGUGAUUUUUAAAGGUUUUGGUGCAGACAUGUUGCCAUAAUACCAGCAAACAGGCAGCUCAAAUACUGGACACAGGCAAAAAGUACAUAUGGUCCGAUGUCACUGUAAGCCAGUUCUACAGAUUCGUUAGUAACGUGUCGGUGGUUCUUCUAAAACAUCCAGGAUUGUUGGUGAGAGAGCCACUUCGACUCUGUCCCGUAUCCAGGAACAGUUGCGGCCAGGUUCAUAAGUUUCCUAGAAUGUUGGAGUGACCCAGACAAAGAUGUGGUGAAUCAUAGGAAGAACGGGACACCAGACCAUGAGGAGUUGUUUCAUACAAAACGCAUUCUUGAUGAGAUUUGUGCCCCGUGUUAGACAUAAUGCUAUACAAGAAGCGAGCCCUAACUCUUGUAUGACCCAGGAUAUGAAGUCUACAAAACGGAUGUUCAGACUUUGUGUUCGCUCCGAUGUGAAUAAUUUGUGUUUACUGGGAAAAACAAGGGUAACAAUUAGGACUGGAAUAUUUUGAGUGUUAUGGCUGUCAUAAUUUCCAGCUUUACCUGAUAGCUGGUAUAGAGCAUGUAUGUGGGUAUCUUUUGUUACAGGUUGCAGGCUUUUCACAGACUUUGUACACUGGAGCUUGUGGCAAAUACAGCUGGAAAGGUUUAUAUAUAGAUAUAAUUGUGAAGGAAAUGGUUUCUCCAUGAAGAGAACUGAGAUAUUCAAGUGUAGGAUUAUUGA